rnacentral:pre_miRNA from 1 species
CAGUGGUUUUACCCUAUGGUAGAUCCAGCAAUAGCACACUACCACAGGGUAGAACCACGGG